UGGAGCAGCAGUUUCUCUUCCACCUGACCUGUGAGCAGGGGGGCAGCAGGGGGUCUCUCCUGUAGGCGAAGCCCUUUGAGAGGCGCUAUAUCAACACAAGGAAUUCUCAGGCGGCGUUCCUGCUGGGAACGUGUGUGUCCCGGGACCAGCACGGGCCGGGGGGCCGCCCAGACACGCCCCCUGUGCGCCAGAGAGAACAAAGACAUUGCUUGUUCCAGGACGCUCCAGGCCGAAGUCCUCUCUCUCUCCGGGGACCGGCUGCCGUCGGAAAGCCCUGCGGACAAAGUUCCAAACCUGCUGGCGCUCGGUACAGGUAUUUCAGCCAGCCUGCUGCAGAGACCCCCCAGAGGAGCAGGCGGAGACAGGACCGGGCUCAGAGUGACCCCGAGGGCGACUGCACUCUCUGCCUCGCUGGCACACGGGGUGUUUGGACCCCCGGCUGUUAUAUCAUCACAUCAUACAUUCGGCACAACCUCUUGUUGCCAUGGGAGUAGGGAACAAGCUGCCCAGCCACGCCGACUCAGAUACGAGUUUCAUUUCUUGUUCCAAAUAAAGCUCAGCAAUCAACUUAAUUGAUUAAGUAUUGGCUCAGCUGAAAGGGCUGCAUGUUUUUUCUUAGGGUGCGUCUUACCCAAUGAUGCCACGGACUGCCCUGUGCCCAGUGGGGUCACUCUUUCCCCGUUAUUCAGUUGAUUCGAGGGGUUCAGGCCGCGAGGGAGUCCGAACCGAGUCCCCCCCCCCAGGAAGGAUGAGGUCACCUCCACACACUGCCUGCUGGCAAUCUGCUCCUGCUGCGCUCAGCGGGCGGAACCUUACACCCAGGGUGAGGUAACAGGAGCUGGCUGCCUGCGUGUGUCAGUGAGAGUUGGCAGGAUUACACCCCUCCUCCUCAUUUCCUAGAAGACAGACAGGUGUGCCCAGGUGAGUCAUCUCAGGCUCUGUCCUUGUUAAGGGGGCAGCGCCUCUAACAGCCUGCUGUCCGUCACACUUCUCUCAACCAGUUUACACAAAGAGCUGUGGGAGUGUGGAGCAAACCACCCAGCUUGUGGAGGAAUGACUUUAAUGGGCUGAAUUUAUAGCGGGUCUCGUCAACAGCGGGUCUCUGUGGGAGAUCCCACAGGUGCUGAACAUUGGGAUUCUCUGUUUCCUUGAACCUGCCCUCCCUACAGUUCCCACGUAUUUCACCCUGUGCAGCAGUUUCUCACUCCUGGGUGAUGAAGGGUCCCCUCUUGUAUGCAAGGCCCUGUGGGAGGCUUUGGGAUGAAGGACGCUAUAUACUCACACGAGUCAGUGUUCGGGCUCAGAUACAGGGUCCGGAGUCCUGGGCUCUGUUCUGGCCGGGCUGAGGUACAGUAUCUGUCAGCGUGGAGCCCCUAGACUACAAUGAGCAUGACCGAACCUGUUCAAGGCUUGCAGGGUGCACUGCAUCCCAAGAGAUGCAUCUGUUGAUAACUCUGGUGGUUAUUGCCGACGUUUACUGAGGAUCGUUUUCUACCCAGAUUUCAGGAAGAGAGGGGUAAGAUCCCUGCGGCUCGAGAGGUUUCUCUGGCGCCUCGCAGGUUCACGGAUUCCUCACAGGUCCUCACAGAUCGCACACCCAGGGAGCAGCGGCUCUCUCUGUGCCUGCUGCUCUUCAGGAAUGUGGUCCGUGCGACAAAUCUACUUGAUCACAUGAACACGGGAAAGAACUGAGAUUAUCCGCCCCACACGUCCUUCCAGACAAUCGAGACAAGUUUGUUUCCGCUGACACUAACAGAGCUCAAGUUAUUCUCACCUCUUAAACACAGGCAUCACACCUGUAAAUGGAUAAUUUCCAAAUCCUCGUCUCUGGAGCCAGCAGCUUCAGAAUAGGGGGGUCUCUUUUUAUUUGCAAACUCAUCAGCUCUUAACCCGACAGAAGCAGGUGAAGCUCAGGCCCGUGUGACAGUCUGUGAAUCAGCCAGUCUGACAAAUCCUCUGUCUGCCCCCCUGUUUCUCUCUCAGCCCCACCCACCCCUGUCAUUAUCCUGUUUAGGCUCCUCUCUGGACUCAGGAUCUUGGGCU